rnacentral:lncRNA from 1 species
CCUAUGUCCCGUAAGUAUGAUUUCAUUGUCAACUGGACUACUAAUUAUGCAUAGUGAAGAUUCAAAAGACACUUUAAAGCCCUUGUCACAAAAUUGACUUAUACUUAAUAAAUUAUGUUUUAAUCCAUUAACUAACAAUACAUUGUCAAUAAAUGAGGAGGGUGAUAUGGAGAUUUUACCAAUACCAAUGAUUUGACCUUUAGCAUUGUCUCCAAAUAUGACUACUCCUCCUUCUUUCGAUUUCAAGGUGACGAAAAGACUCUUGUCACCGGUCAUAUGCCUUGAGCAACCACUAUCAAGAUACCACAUUCUCUUUUUACUCCCGGCUGCAAGGCAUACCUGCAAAAUAAUCAUGUGAGGCUCUUAGGUACCCAAGUUUUCUUGGGUCCUUCUUGGUUAGUGUAGUUGGUUCCCUUAGGCACCCACACUUUAGUUUUGUUUUUACCUUUUACAAAUGUAUUCUUGUUAGUUUGAAUCUUUCUUUGAAUGCAAGAAUAGGCUUUAUGUCCACUCUUCCCACAAUGAAAGCAUGUAGAUUUUUCAGUCUUGAUAUCUUUUGCUUUCACAAAAAAAUUCUUUAGAUAUUUUUGUUGUUUGCUAGUUUUAUAUCCUAAUCCUGCUUUAUUAAAAACAGCUCUUUGAUU